GACGAACGCUGGCGGCGUGCCUAAUACAUGCAAGUAGAACGCUGAAGGAGGAGCUUACUUCUCUGGAUGAGUUGCGAACGGGUGAGUAACGCGUAGGUAACCUGCCUGGUAGCGGGGGAUAACUAUUGGAAACGAUAGCUAAUACCGCAUAAGAGUAGAUGUUGCAUGACAUUUACUUAAAAGGUGCAAUUGCACCACUACCAGAUAGACCUGCGUUGUAUUAGCUAGUUGGUGGGGUAACGGCUUACCAAGGCGACGAUACAUAGCCGACCUGAGAGGGUGAUCGGCCACACUGGGACUGAGACACGGCCCAGACUCCUACGGGAGGCAGCAGUAGGGAAUCUUCGGCAAUGGGCGGAAGUCUGACCGAGCAACGCCGCGUGAGUGAAGAAGGUUUUCGGAUCGUAAAGCUCUGUUGUAAGAGAAGAACGAGUGUGAGAGUGGAAAGUUCACACUGUGGCGGUAUCUUACCAGAAAGGGACGGCUAACUACGUGCCAGCCGCCGCCGUAA
rnacentral:rRNA from 1 species